rnacentral:misc_RNA from 1 species
UCCGUGUUAACCACGGCAGUCUCUUUAGAGAGCCCAACUUAAUGCUGGCAACUAAAGACAAGGGUUGCGCUCGUUGCGGGACUUAACCCAACAUGUCACCACACGAGCUGACGACAGCCAUGCAGCACCUGUCUCCUUGUUGUAUUGCUACAAAGAUCGUAUUUCUACGACUGUCAAGGGAUGUCAAACCCAGGUAAGGUUUUUCGCGUUGCUUCGAAUUAAACCACAUGAUCCACCGCUUGUGCGGGCCCCCGUCAAUUCCUUUGAGUUUUAGUCUUGCGACCGUACUCCCCAGGCGCGGUACUUAUCGCGUUAGCUCCGGCUCGGCAGGAGUCAAGACCCGCCUAACCUAGUACCGAUCGUUUACAGCGUGGACUAC